AUUGAACGCUGGCGGCAUGCCUUACACAUGCAAGUCGAACGGCAGCACGGGUGCUUGCACCUGGUGGCGAGUGGCGAACGGGUGAGUAAUACAUCGGAACAUGUCCUGUAGUGGGGGAUAGCCCGGCGAAAGCCGGAUUAAUACCGCAUACGAUCUACGGAUGACAGCGGGGGACCUUCGGGCCUCGCGCUAUAGGGUUGGCCGAUGGCUGAUUAGCUAGUUGGUGGGGUAAAGGCCUACCAAGGCGACGAUCAGUAGCUGGUCUGAGAGGACGACCAGCCACAUGGGGACUGAGACACGGCCCAGACUCCUACGGGAGGCAGCAGUGGGGAAUUUGGGACAAUGGGCGAAAGCCUGAUCCAGCAAUGGCGCGUGUGUGAAGAAGGCCUUCGGGUUGUAAAGCACUUUUGUCCGGAAAGAAAUCCUUGGCCCUAAUACGGUCGGGGGAUGACGGUACCGGAAGAAGAAGCACCGGCUAACUACGUG
rnacentral:rRNA from 1 species